ACUCCUUCCUGCUGCCAUGUAAGACAUGUCUUUGUUCCUCCUUCACCUCCUGCCAUGAUUGUGAGGCCUCCCCAGCCAUGUGGAACUGUGAGUCCAUUAAACCUCUUUCCUUUAUAAAUUACCUAGUCUCGGGUAUUUCUUCACAGCAUAUGAAAAUGGACUAAUACACCAGGCUUUGCCACCCUCAUCUCCCCUCACCCCUGCCCUGUCUGCCCAGGUCAGUGCCCUCCAGCCUUGUACCUUUCAGAUAUGGGUUGUGACCUGUGACCCAUUUAGUGGGUGAUGAAAUUAAUUUGGUGGCUUGUGAACAGCAUUUUAAGAAAAAAAUAGAAUAGGAAAUACAGAAAAUGUGUUUCUUAUUGUGAUACAUGUUCAAGAAAGUUUGAAAGCACUGCUCUGGCCUGUAUGGGUCAAAGAAGCUUUAGUACUAUUUUUCUCUUUAGUUGCCUUCAGCAGAUUCUAGAAGAAGGGGCUUCGGCACUCCUGGCCUCGCACAGUGGGCCUGUGGUGGAUUGUAGAAAAUGGUCAGUUCUCUUUUAAAAUGCUGCCAACAGCAGCGCAGGUGGUGGGCACACCUGUUCUUUUAACUGUAUCUGUUUCAUAAGGUAAGUAUACCU
rnacentral:lncRNA from 1 species